CAGAAAUACUCCGUUGACAUCUAC
rnacentral:siRNA from 1 species